rnacentral:rRNA from 1 species
UACGUAGGGUGCGAGCGUUGUCCGGAAUUACUGGGCGUAAAGAGCUCGUAGGUGGUUUGUCGCGUUGUUCGUGAAAACUCACAGCUUAACUGUGGGCGUGCGGGCGAUACGGGCAGACUGGAGUACUGCAGGGGAGACUGGAAUUCCUGGUGUAGUGGUGGAAUGCGUAGAGAUCGGGAGGAACACCAGUGGCGAAAGCGGCUCUCUGGUCCAAAACUGACGCUGAGGGGCGAAAGCGUGGGGAGCGAACGGG